rnacentral:rRNA from 1 species
UACGUAGGGUGCAAGCGUUAAUCGGAAUUACUGGGCGUAAAGCGUGCGCAGGCGGUGAUGUAAGACAGGUGUGAAAUCCCCGGGCUUAACCUGGGAACUGCAUUUGUGACUGCAUCGCUGGAGUGCGGCAGAGGGGGAUGGAAUUCCGCGUGUAGCAGUGAAAUGCGCAGAUAUGCGGAGGAACACCGAUGGCGAAGGCAAUCCCCUGGGCCUGCACUGACGCUCAUGCACGAAAGCGUGGGGAGCAAACAGG